rnacentral:rRNA from 1 species
AUUGAACGCUGGCGGCAGGCCUAACACAUGCAAGUCGAACGCGUCGCGGACGGGUGUGAAAUGUCUGGGAACCUGCUAUAUGGCUGGGGAUAACUCCUGGAACCGGUAGCUAAUCCCGCAUACCAUCGGAUGUGCCCUGAGUGGAUUCGCUAGUAGGUGGGGUAACGGCUCACCAAGGCGACGAUCCCUAGCUGGUCUGAGAGGAUGACCAGCAACACUGGAACUGAGACACGGUCCAGACUCCUACGGGAGGCAGCAGUAGGGAAUAUUGCGCAAUGGGCGAAAGCCUGAUGCAGCCAUGCCGCGUGAAUGAAGAAGGCCUUCGGGUUGUAAAGUACUUUCAGCGAGGAGGCGGUACUCAAAGAAAAAGCAACGGCUAACUCCGUGCCAGCAGCCGCGGUAAUAC